rnacentral:rRNA from 1 species
CCUAUCCCCUCGUGUGGCCUUGGUCUCCCACGACGUAUAUUGGUCAAUGGAGGCAACGCUGAACCAGCCGAUGCCGCGUGCAGGAAGACGGCCUACGGGUUGUAAACUGCUUUUAUACGGGAAUAAACCCAGGUCGUGAUCUGGGUUGAAUGUACUGUAAGAAUAACGGAUACGGCUAACACGUGCCAGCAGCCGCGGUAAUACGUAGGUCCCGAGCGUUGUCCGGGAUUUAUUGGGCGUAAAGCGAGCGCAGGCGGUUAGAUAAGUCUGAAGUUAAAGGCUGUGGCUUAACCAUAGUACGCUUUGGAAACUGUUUAACUUGAGUGCAAGAGGGGAGAGUGGAAUUCCAUGUGUAGCGGUGAAAUGCGUAGAUAUAUGGAGGAACACCGGUGGCGAAAGCGGCUCUCUGGCUUGUAACUGACGCUGAGGCUCGAAAGCGUGGGGAGCAAACAGGAUUAGAUACCCUGGUAGUCCACGCCGUAAACGAUGAGUGCUAGGUGUUAGACCCUUUCCGGGGUUUAGUGCCGCAGCUAACGCAUUAAGCAC